UACGGAGGGGGCUAGCGUUGUUCGGAAUUACUGGGCGUAAAGCGCACGUAGGUGGUUUGUUAAGUUGAAUGUGAAAUCCCCGGGCUCAACCUGGGAACUGCAUCCAAAACUGGCAAGCUAGAGUAGGGCAGAGGGUGGUGGAAUUUCCUGUGUAGCGGUGAAAUGCGUAGAUAUAGGAAGGAACACCAGUGGCGAAGGCGACCACCUGGGCUCAUACUGACACUGAGGUGCGAAAGCGUGGGGAGCAAACAGG
rnacentral:rRNA from 1 species